GACGAACGCUGGCGGCGUGCUUAACACAUGCAAGUCGAACGGAAAGGCCUGCUUUCCCUUGUGGAUUGCGGGUACUCGAGUGGCGAACGGGUGAGUAACACGUGAGUGAUCUGCCCCCAACUUGGGUAUAAGCCUGGGAAACUGGGUCUAAUUCCCGAUAGGACUGCAGGGUGGUGCCUGUGGUGGAAAACGAUUUUCUAGUGGUUGGGGAUGAGCUCGCGGCCUAUCAGCUUGUUGGUGGGGUAAUGGCCUACCAAGGCGGGGACGGGUAGCCGGCCUGGGAGGGUGGACGGCCACAUUGGGACUGAGAUACGGCCCAGACUCCUACGGGAGGCAGCAGUGGGGAAUAUUGCACCAUGGGCGGAAGCCUGAUGCAGCGACGCCGCGUGGGGGAUGACGGCCUUCGGGUUGUAAACUCCUUUCGACCGCGAGGAAGCCACCUGGUUGGAAGGGUGGUGACGGUAGUGGUAGAAGAAGCACCGGCUAACUACGUG
rnacentral:rRNA from 1 species